rnacentral:rRNA from 1 species
AUACGUAGGUGGCAAGCGUUGUCCGGAAUUAUUGGGCGUAAAGCGAGCGCAGGCGGGCCUUUAAGUCUGAUGUGAAAGCCCACGGCUCAACAGUGGAGGGUCAUUGGAAACUGGGUGACUUGAGUGCAGAAGAGGAAAGAGGAAUGCCAAGUGUAGCGGUGAAAUGCGUAGAGAUUUGGAGGAACACCCGUGGCGAAGGCGACUUUCUGGUCUGUAACUGACGCUGAGGCGCGAAAGCGUGGGGAGCAAACAGGAUUAGAUACCCUGGUAGUCCACGCCGUAAACGAUGAGUGCUAAGUGUUAGGGGGUUUCCGCCCCUUAGUGCUGCAGCUAACGCAUUAAGCACUCCGCCUGGGGAGUACGGUCGCAAGACUGAAACUCAAAUGAAUUGACGGGG